UACAGAGGGUGCAAGCGUUAUUCGGAAUUACUGGGCGUAAAGCGUGCGUAGACGGUUAUGUAAGUCAGAUGUGAAAGCCCCGGGCUCAACCUGGGAAUUGCAUUUGAGACUGCAUAGCUAGGGUGCGGAAGAGGGAAGCGGAAUUUCCGGUGUAGCGGUGAAAUGCGUAGAUAUCGGAAGGAACACCAGUGGCGAAAGCGGCUUCCUGGUCCAGCACCGACGUUCAGGCACGAAAGCGUGGGGAGCAAACAGG
rnacentral:rRNA from 1 species